CCAGGAGGAGGGAAUGGAACCUGAGAGCAGCAGUGCAAGAGGCAGAGGCAGCUCUAAGGCAGCAGAAAUAGUAGAUCCCAGGAAAACCAGCGUGGAACACAGCAGGUCGAAAGGAUAAAGCUGCUAGUGGAACGGAUGCAGAGACAAGAGGAACUGUUGAGGGGAGCAAAGGCAGCUGGUCAGGACAAACAGGGGCAGUGGUUGAACUGGGAAGGUGUUGAGAAGAGGACCUGUGGAGGAUGGAAGAAAGCCGUAAUAAAGUUCUAGUAGGGGCAACAUACGAUGUGUUUCCAACCCCCCCAGAACCUCAGACUGUGGGUAGAUGGAGACCAAUCGUUCCCGCUGUGCUCAGGCGAACUCCAGCUCCAGCGCUGCCUCAGCAGGUGAGAUUCAGAGAGGAAACGCAGACGGCAGUGAUGUUGGUGAAAACUCGUCAGUUUGUUACAGACAUGAAGGUGAAGAAUUGGUCAGCAUGGAGCAAUGUCAGCAGGUUUCAGACGAUCUGCGACAGGCGGCGAGCCGAGCCGUUCACCUUUACCUGCAGCUCCAGGAUGUAAAGCAGCAGCCGGAGAUGAUGUCCGUCCUGCAGGAGGCCUUUCAGUGGGUUUCCUCUCGGCUGCAGGAGGCUCAGCGGAGCGGCGCCCCCUGAUGGUCAGCUGGAGAACCACGUCUACUGAGUUAUAAAUACCAGAAACACAUUCAGCAGUUCUGCUGCUGUCUAGACAUUCAGCUCUGUCCCAGAAACACUCCACUGAGGAAACGGGUAGAUUCACCUGUAAGCUCCGCCCCCUUCAUCCAGGUGACUCUGAGACAUUUAAUGAUGAAGCACCGGGACGGAUGUCUGGAUCCCAGCAGGACAGAUUAUUGAAACUGAAAACAUCCGAAUUCAACCCACAGCUGUAGUUUUAAUGUUUAUAAUAAAUAUUGCGUUUCAAGAAAUCGUGAAGUUUUUCAUGUGGAUCAGAAGAAAGAAG
ensembl:lncRNA